UACGAAGGGGGCUAGCGUUGCUCGGAAUCACUGGGCGUAAAGCGCACGUAGGCGGCUUUUUAAGUCAGGGGUGAAAUCCUGGAGCUCAACUCCAGAACUGCCUUUGAUACUGAGAAGCUUGAGUCCGGGAGAGGUGAGUGGAACUGCGAGUGUAGAGGUGAAAUUCGUAGAUAUUCGCAAGAACACCAGUGGCGAAGGCGGCUCACUGCCCGGUACUGACGCUGAGGUGC
rnacentral:rRNA from 1 species